AGAGUCGUGGAGCGCGCGGGUAGACAGAGCGUCGGAGUAUCGCGAGCGCGCCCCCUGGCGCCAGUCCUCCACGGCGCGAGCUGCUGCGCAGGCGCGGGGCAACUCCAGCUGUCAAUCCGCAGCACUCAGGUUUCGCUUUCCUCCUGCUUGGUUGUGCCUUCUGGAAAUUCCUUACACCAUAUUUCGGAACUGUCUAAGGGAGUCAACCCAAGCAUGGAACUUUUCUUUGAAAUUGCUGCCAACUACACUAGCCUGUUCUCUGUCAAGUCAUGGGAAAGCUAUUUUGAACUCCCUGUUUAACUGGACGCAAACGACUAUAGAAUGUGACUGAAACGUUCCAAGAGCUCAAAUGAGACCAUAUGGGAAGAUGCUUUGCAAAAUAGGAAGUACUGUACGGAUGGAAGCAAUUGCAUAUUUUAACCAGGAGAGUUACCUGAUAUUGGUUUAACAACCACAAUGCUCCGGUUUCCUGAAGUGCUGCUAAUUUUUAAAUAUUAGGUUCAAGUGUUCUAUGAGUAAAUAAAGGUAGCCCUGUGCUGUCCUGAGGAUACCCAAAUAUCCCUUUGGAAAAGGCUCCUGUGAUGAGGAACUGAGCCCUCCUGCCAAUAGCCAGAGGAUUGCUAAAGCCCUAUAAGUGUGCCCUUUUGGAAGGCCAUCUUUUGGCUCCAAUCAAGCCUUCAAAUGACUGCAGCAGCUGCUGAUAUUGUAAUUGCUACUUCAUGAGACAUCCUCAGCUAGAAUCACCAGCUAAGCUGCUUCUGAGUUCCUGACCUACAAAAGGUGCGAGAGACCAGACAUUGAAGAUACAUUGAAGAACUUAUAGAUGUCUGUCUGGGAAAAAUAUACCCACAGAAGUUAAUGUCCUGCAAGAUGCUAACCAGUUUGGUGUCUAUUGAGCAGGUGAAUUCAUUUCAGCAUUUCUUUGACAUUGAAUAAAAUCUCCAUUUCUUAAAU